rnacentral:rRNA from 1 species
CGUCAAGUCAUCAUGCCCCUUAUGCCCUGGGCUACACACGUGCUACAUUGGCCGGUACAAAGGGCUGCAAACCCGCGAGGGGGAGCGAAUCCCAAAAAGCCGGUCUCAGUUCGGAUUGCAGGCUGCAACUCGCCUGCAUGAAGCUGGAAUCGCUAGUAAUCGCGGAUCAGCACGCCGCGGUGAAUACGUUCCCGGGCCUU